UACAGAGGGUGCGAGCGUUAAUCGGAAUUACUGGGCGUAAAGCGUGCGCAGGCGGUUUUGUAAGCCAGAUGUGAAAUCCCCGGGCUUAACCUGGGAAUGGCAUUUGGGACUGCAAGGCUAGAGUACGGCAGAGGAGACUAGAAUUCCUGGUGUAGCAGUGAAAUGCGUAGAUAUCAGGAGGAAUACCGAUGGCGAAGGCAGGUCUCUGGGUCGAUACUGACGCUCAUGCACGAAAGCGUGGGGAGCAAACAGG
rnacentral:rRNA from 1 species